AUGAGGAGAGGCUACAGCUACAGCCCAUCCCCACCACCGAGAGGCUACAGGGGAAGGGCCCGUAGCCCAAGUCCCCGUGAUCGUUAUGAUGGUCGGGGUAGAGAUCUCCCAACCAGUCUUUUGGUCAGGAACCUUCGUCGUGACUGCAGGCCAGAUGACCUUCGCCGGCCAUUUGCACAGUUUGGUCGUCUUAAAGACGUAUAUAUUCCAAGGGAUUACUAUACUCAGGAGCCACGGGGAUUUGGGUUUGUGCAGUACUUUGAUCCCAACGAUGCGGCAGACGCAAAAUACUACAUGGAUGGACAGGUCAUUCUUGGUAGAGAAGUUGCAGUUGUUUUUGCACAGGAGAACAGAAAGAAGCCUGCUGAGAUGAGAACUAGAGAAAGUAGCAGAGGUCGGUCUUACGAUCGGCGGCACUCUCCUUCCCCAAGGGGGCGGCCAUCUUACCGCGGCCGAAGCUACUCAAGGUCUCCAUCACCUCGGCCCGCAAGGCGGAGGUUCAGAGACGAGUCUCCCUCGCGCUCCCGCUCGCCCAGCGGAUCGAGGAGUGCGAGUCCAUUGGAUGGGAAGUACGGCAGGUCCUCACGAAGAGAGAGGUCGAUUUCGGUUAGCGGAUGA
rnacentral:rRNA from 1 species